rnacentral:tRNA from 1 species
GCCGCUGUAGCUCAGCCGGUAGAGCGGCGCUUUCGUAAAGCGUAGGUCAUCGGUUCAAGUCCGAUCAGCGGCUCCA